AUCCUGACUCUGCUUGGCCAAGCUUCUUACCUCUUCCUGGGUUUAGCUUGCACUUUCUUCUCAGGUGUCUCACCUCUGAGGUAGAAAAAACCCAUGGGUCUGUCUACUGCACGAAAUCUAAACCUGUAUCCUGCCCACUUUUCACGAUGACCCACUGUUGGAGCAAUAGAGAACUCUGCAAGCAGGGAAAUCACAGAAUAGAAGAAGAAAAAAUUAAAAGACAUCAUUGGAACUUACAGAAGAAGGGCCAUGUGAAGACACAAAGAGAAGAUUGCCAUGUACAAACCAAGGAGACAGGACUCUGAAGAAACCAAAACUGCCAAUGACUUGAUCUUGGGCUUCUAGCCUUCAGAACCGUGAUAAAUAUUUUUGUUUAAGCCAGAAAUAAAAAGACAUAAUUGAUUUUUUUAAAAAGCCA
rnacentral:lncRNA from 1 species